rnacentral:rRNA from 1 species
UUUGUUUGGAGAGUUUGAUCCUGGCUCAGGACGAACGCUGGCGGCGUGCUUAACACAUGCAAGUCGAACGGUGAAGGGGCCUGCUUUUGUGGGUCCUGGAUGAGUGGCGAACGGGUGAGUAACACGUGAGUAACCUGCCCCCUUCUUCUGGAUAACCGCAUGAAAGUGUGGCUAAUACGGGAUAUUCUGGGUCUGUCGCAUGAUGGGUCUGGGAAAGAUAUUGUUUCGGUGGGGGAUGGGCUCGCGG